CCCGAAUCUUCAUAAGCUUCUUCUAACGAUGAAUUUCAAUACCAAGUUCUCCAUGCUUUCUCAAAGAGAUAUGGAAAUCAUAAGUGAUUACUUCAAAAUCGAGUAGGAAUUCGUGGGUCCUAGGUCGUUUUACUCAUUAUCAUUCAACGCUCAGCAGAUCUGGAAACCAUAAAGAUUUCACUUUCGGCAGUUAAUCCAUUUCUUUGCAUUAGUUGGAAAAUAGAAGGAACCAUUGGACGGUGGAGUGGGAGGCCGAGCAGGUGAUGGAAUAAACCUCUUUGCAUUAGGGUUAAGCUUGAAUUCCUUACAACACGAAAGGGGAAACUCAUACAUAAGACAAUAACAUAAAAGACUAGAACCAGACAGCGGGAAAACAAAUUCCAGUCCAAAAGUUGGGCUUGAACUUCCAUACCUUUGCAUUUGGAUUCAGAGUUGAUUUUUCAAAAGACAGUGAACCAACUGAUGAACUUGGAGAUAAGCCAGAAGAGAAAGGGCAACAAACACCUGCUUUCCCCAUCCAUCGAGGAAUAGCUUAUGGCAGGGAGUUCAGAUGUUAAUUGCUUAGCAUGAUCAUAAGAACCAGAGAUAAUCAAAAGGAUCUACUGGUAAUUUCCCUGAUAUAAGAAAUAUGAACACUCCCUUUCUCCUUUGAUAAAAUCGGGUUAUAUGUCAUAUAAAGAUUACUCGAGACCAUAAACGCAAUGAUCUUGAAGUUCUUAGUAAUUUAUUCUUCUUUAC
rnacentral:sRNA from 1 species